rnacentral:lncRNA from 1 species
GAAGCCAGGCCAAGAAGAAUCCCAGGACUGGAAGGCCUUGUGGGACGUCCCAGGUUUGUCUUGUGUCAAUAGCACUGAUACUCAAUCUCCUACUCCCAUCUGUGAGCAUGCAGACCCUACUUGCCUUCCCACAGCCUCCCUUUUCAUAUUUUUCAUGUUUCUUUAGCUCUGUCUUCAAGCCUUGUUGCUCCCGCAAAAAAACCUGCCUCUUCCUCCAGUCCUCCCAAGCAGGGGGAACAGUCCUGACACCUUUCCAAGCCCUGGUCCAUGGACAUUGUGCCCCCUUCUCCCUGCCCAUGGUGACCUGCUCCAAAACCCUCAAGGAGAAGGGAGUGUAUGUCAUUUCCUCCCUGUAAAGUAAAGAUAAUUUUGCAGGGGACUGUGUGGAUGAAAUGACAUGAUGCAUGGAAAUCCCUUAGCGUGUGCCUGGCAUGUAAACUGCAGGUGUCAUCAUUAUUACUGAGGAAUACUGAGUCCCGAACAUGGCUGUCUCAUUGGUGGACUGGGGUCUCCCCCAGGGCAUUCAUCUACUAUGUGUUUAUUGCACCCUUUUUCCAUGUGAGGCACAUGCCAGGGACUGGGCACAUGGUAUGAACAAGACACAGGUCAUCGGUGUCCUCUUGAGCUCCCUGGCUUGGCAGCAGAUGCAUACCUGGGAAGGAUGCUAGGUCAUCCGGGAACUCUACCUCCUUCAAAUCCCUAAGGACUGUGCUCCCAAUCCGCUUACGCUCAAGGAAGAACUGGUCAGCCCUAGGUGCAGCUGCAACCUGAGGGACUUGUCCUGGGAUCAGACAUUUUGAGGACUUUCUUGACCCUUGGCUGAUAUCCUUGCAGGCAGGACCUGCAGCUAAGCAAGACGUAGGACUGCAAGCUGGGUUGGCACCCUCCCCCUAGGGAGUUCUCCAGGCCUUGCCCCCUCUGUCCCCAGCCUGGAAGCCCUCCCUGGUACCAUACCCCAGCCGAUGAGUAUGUACCCCCAGAAGUACUUCCGCUCAGAGAAGAAGGAGACGGCAAGCAGGGUGUACAGGCCCAGAACCAGCCUGCUGUCAGGAUCAGAACAAAAGAGGAGGACUGCAUAUGUAUGGACCCACUCCAGAUGGCACGGGGACGGGGGGAGUAGGAAAAGUGGCAUGAUGAGGAAAUGGAGGCACAGACUGAUUAGAAAACCAGCUCAAGGUCAUGUUGCUGCUCUCUCAUUCCUGUUGAGGGCUCUCUGGUGGAGCCUCUGUCUCACAGGUCACCUGCAGGCCAACACUCCCAGAAGCAGCUAGCACCAUGGUUGACCUCGUCCAGGUCCAGGGAAGGCCUCCCUCUCCAGGACUCCUUUAGAUUUCCCCAGCAUCCAGACCUCACCUGCCUAAGUGCUGUUGCCCUGGAAGCCACAGUGAGCACGAGCUCCAUCUUGCACCUUUACCAGCCAAUGGGGGUAAAGACAUUAGCUGGCCAUGUUCAAUCCCCUCAAGGGAAGCCUGAGACCACAGCUACUGCCUCGAAUCAGAAGCCCCAGCCUCAUCAUCUGGGGCCAGAGAACUAGGGCAGGAGGAGCCAAGUAGCACAGCAGGAAGCAUGAGUCCCUCCGAGGAGAAGCUGGUCUCUGAGAGGAGCACAGAAUGCAGCAGGCUGGAUAAGCCCCCUGCUGAAAUCAUGGGGUAAAAAAGAGACACAGGGGGAAUGGAGGAGCCAGAGAGAAAGCAGUGUGAUCACAGGCACACAGGACAGCAGCUCACCUUCCCAUCCUUGCUGGCUUUUGCACCCAACAGCCCAAAGCCUCCCCGCUGCAAAUUCUUUUUUUUUUUUUUUUUUGCCAGCCUCACUUCCUCUUGGGGAAGGCUGAGCUCUGGUAGAAGAAGAGAAUGAGAACUGCUGUAAAUACUUCUAAGGGGCCAGGCGUGGUGACUCAUGCUUGUAAUUCCAAGCACUUUGGGAGGCUGAGGCAGGUGGAUCACCUGAAGCCAGGAGUUCAAGAGCAGCCUGGCCAACAUGGCGAAACCCUGUCUCUACUAAAAAUACAAAAUUUAGCCAGGCAUGGUGGCGGGAGCCUGUAAUCUCAGCUCCUAGGGAGGCUGAGCCAGAAGAAUCGCUUAAACCUGGAAGCUGGAGGUUGCAGUGAGCCAAGAUCACACCACCACACUCCAGCCUGGGUGACAGAGCAAGACUCCAUCUCAAAAAGAAAAAAAAGAAAAAAAGGAAAUACUUCUAAGUUAUGUGAGAGAGUACAUACUGACAUUUUCAAUGGGUACAAUAA